AAGAAGAAGAAAAAGCAUAAAGCGGAGACUGAUUGAUUGGUGACACACAACACACCUGCUCAUCUUCACGCAGGUGUUUUUCAGUCAGCUGAUGACCGCUGAUUGCUUCCUCCUCCUCCUCUUAUUUAAUCUUCAUCCAGCCAACAGUCCCGUGAUGCUACUUUGAAAAGAAACGAGCCGUGAAACGGAAAAAAAAAAAAGACGCGAAAAAAGUGUCGCUGCUUAACUACUGAAACUGUUCCGGGAGGAGGGAACUUGUGGCGGUAAUGCACCAACCGCCAUAAAACCUCAAAAAAGGAGGAAACUUAAAAAUAAAAAAAGAGAAAUAAAAAAGAAAAACUACCGCGUCCUGACGUCAGACGCCGAAAAGGUGGCCUCGUGCAUCAGCUCCUGUAUAAAAACGCAGCAUGGCGCUCCAGGAUGGCGUGUUCGGCCUGGUCCAGAUUGGUGGCCCGUCUGGAAUGGAACAACCUGCUUCCUGCUCACAGAGACCUGGUCGGACCGCCAUAUACAAAAGCCUGAGGCUGUCAAAAAAAAGAUUGAUCUUCAUGAAGAUCGUCAAAUUGUAGGUGUCAUGGUUUAAUUCUGGGUGGCCGCUGUGUCCCCACUCUUUCUUGGCCGCUGUGCCUACAUCUCUCUACAUUGUCCAACAUGGCCACGUUCUUUCUAUUCUCCUGCUUUCCAUCUGUCAAAUAGCUGAGGGUUGUAACUUGAACUGUUUUCUUUAGCACUAAAAUAUAGUGAUGUUGGAGGACCAGUUUUUAAAUGAGGUUUAAAUGGAUGUUGGUGUACAGUUAAAGCUAGAUGGUAGGAAUAAAUGUAAUGUUGUGCCUUGUACACUCUGUCACGAGGCUUAGACUUCUUGGCCGCUGUGCCUUUUUUUUUUUUCUCUCUCUCUUUUCCAUCGUGGCCAUUAAUCUAACGUUAGCCCUAGAACGUUAAAGUAGAUCCUGGUGAUCUACAUAGUACCUGGCUUUGGAUGGCAGUCCUGCCAUUGCCUUUGUAUUGCCAUACGUCCCUUAAUGCAAGUAGGUCAUCAUCGCUAACUGUGCCCGCGCCUUCAUGGCCUACUUGUGUCAUUGUACGUCUGGCCUUGCGCGUAUAGUCAUUUUACAUAGGCAAACAUGGGUGCCUUCCGCGUCCAUGCACAGUAAGUGAACUAACCUGUACUUUUCUUCUAGCAUCAGUCAAGAGGAGCACCGACAUCACUGCAUGUCCAUCCUAAUUAGAUUGCGUUUUAGUUUAAUUUCAAAUAUUAAGUGCAGUUUUUCUUUGUUGCUUGGCCGCUGUGCCAUUACUAUACCUGCUCUGACCUGAAUCUUGAUUCUUCAUGGCCACUGUCAUGACUGUACUUGGUCUUGGUGUUUAUGCCAGUCUAUAAUUUCAGAUCUGUUUUUCCUACUAAGUUUUCGUGUGUGCGUGCGUGUGUGUGUGUGUGCGAUGACUGACUUGGAGUGUGUUUGUGUGUGCGAUGACUGACUUGGAGUGUGUGCGUGUGUGCGAAGACUGACUUGGAUUGUGUGUGUGUGUGUGUGUGUGCGCGAUGACUGACUUGGAUUGUGUGUGGGUGUGUGAUGACUGACUUGGAAUGUGUGAAUGUGUGUGUGUGCGAUGACUGACUUGGAGUGUGUGAGUGUGAUGACUGACUUGGACUGACGUUAAUCUGACCUUUGGACCAAGACUAACACUCCAAUUGACUUUACUGCACCAGAAAGGUGAACAAAAUUUAUGCUGCAAGACUGGCAAGAUGCACACUAAUUAAACAACAAGCAAAUUCUUUAAAAAACAGGUCAAAUUUUUACAUUUCAGGUAAGUAUUAAAGGCCUUUGCCACAUGAUCUUUGUGGGUAAAUCGUGUCCACUUAAUUUAUAAAUUAAUUUGCAUCUAAACAUUUACAAUGCCUGACACAAUGGCAUUACAAUAGUAUAAUUUUUUUGUUUUGCGUUACUGAGUGCAAAGGCCUUUAUUUACACACUGACACAUGCCAAGACUGCUGUUAUGGCAUGUGUCACUGUCUCUCUCUCGCUGGUCUGAGAGACAUGUCUUUCUGUCUGGUCUCUGUCUGUCUCGUGUGUCUGGUAUCCGUCUGUCUGUCCUGUGUCUGCUAUCCGUCUGUCUGUCCUGUGUUGUAUUUAGUCACUUUUUUAGUCUCAACUUAAAUGGGUGAUUUUAAAGUUGAGUGGUCUUGAGGCGUCUAAUUUCUGUAGGAAAUUCUGGUACCUUAUUUUGAAAUGGCUUUAAUUUAAAAAUUAAAUUUUGGUCUUGAAUCUCAGAUAUCAUAGUUACAACUUGGACUGUUGACAAACGUGAAAGCUGACGAAUCAUUAGCAAAUGCAUCAAAGUUUACUGUAGCUUGUUUAAAGUUCUUUCAAAGUGCUGUAAAAAUGUAGUAAUUGAUUAUGAUGAGCUAGACCAGGUCUUCCUUUAUUCUCAACUGGUAAUUGCUUUGAUAAGAUAGCUGGUUCCUGAUUUGAUUAUGAAGCUUAACUUUUGAUUUAUAUGCAAGUGUAGUCACAUUAGAUUGGAGGUGUUAUUCAGCCCAUGGAUAAUGUUAUGAUAUACUUUAAAUAUCAAUACAUACAUUUAAGUCUUAAACUUUACGCACUGCCAUCAGCCUUUGUAGUCGCUAACUGAAAUCACAUUCAAUAUUAAUGCUGACUUGUCUCACUCUGCCAAGUUUAUUUCCCUCUAAAGGAGUUGAACCUUUUUGUGUUCAUAGUCUUUUUGCGCGUCAUGUUGGGAGGCCUCCCAGCAGGGGAUUUUUAUCUUCCCCUGCAAAACUAUGCGUUACUCGCCUUAGGGAUGCAGGGCUAUCCUGCAUAGUUUCUAUAUAAAUGAGAUUGUAGGUUGCAGGAUUAGAGCGUGUUUCUUUUCUUUAGGAGGACACAAACCAGGCAGAGAGAGACAACUCGGAUUAUUUAAGUGAAAGUUGCGCCAAAUGUUCGAACUUUUUAUCUUUCGAUACGAUGACUUGAAAUAAAACCUUUAUUCUGUUGGCUGAAUUCAGACAGAAAUCAGACAGAAGUUGGCUUCAUGUUAAAGACUGUUGUGCAAGUACCCUCUUGUAGUAGGAGUGAGCAGCUGCAGCUUUUUAAUUUAUUUUUUGUUAUUUGAUUUGUUUCUUGGAUUGACUUGGUGUCUGGAGCUUUGUGGUUAACAGUGAUCAUGUAAACGUGUAAACACAAGUGGUCAUUUGCCUCUGAUUUGCAAAGCUGGCAGCUGGUUGAAAUGAUAGGACUUUAUGGCUUGCCCAAAGUGGGAUUUUUGAUAGAGCAUAGGGUUGACACCUCACCAUACACUAGCUAUUUCAGCGAACAAGUGUCUGUAAUACCCAUGACUUUCUUUCAAAUUUCACAGUUUAGGCAGCUUGUAGAGUCAUUAGGAAGAUGCUUAAUCCCAAUGUCUUGGUUGGUUGCAUGAGAAACUGCUAUCUCUUAGAUGUUUUGGUGAAGUUCCUCUUCUUGAUUUUUGUAGACUUGCCCUAAAGUUUCUCUCUGCUUUAACUCUUGUUGAGCUAUGCAUUAAAUGAUUCCUCCAACUUGUCUCCAUAUCAAUUUUUUUUCUCCCUGCAGCCUUCCACCACCCACUGCUGCUGUUGCAUCUGCUAAAGGUAGCCGUAUCCUGAUUCACUGCGUCUUCAUGUGUUGGGUAAGAAGUGUCAUUAGACUACUAACAAUGUAAACACCUUUUAAAUGCUUGAUCUAAUUUACCCAAAUGGUUCAUCAGUUUAGGACAGAAAAUCCUUGAGUUUGACAUUCUUGGGGUCAGUAACCUGACCUCUAAAUGUUCGGGAAACCAUGCAAAAGAUCGCAAGCUCUCUGCAUGACCCAACAGCAUCGAUGUUUGAGUUAUUUAAUUGCUCAAUUUUUAAAUCAGUCAAGAUUUUAUGAGCUGGGUCUUCUUCACACAACAGAGAACAAGGUAAAUUGAGUCGACUCGUAACAGGGUAAGGCAUUUCGUCUUUACCCUUCUUCUCUGUGUGUGUGAGGAAAUCUGGCCACAGAUCCUGACUGAGUGGCAUACCAUGGCUGUGCAGUUUCCAAAAUCAGACAAGGAUCCAUCUGAUUUUGUGACUCGGCUUGUCAUGAUAUGCAUGUAUGUUCCUCUGAAACAAAGGAUUUGAAUGGACAGGUUUGUAGUGUAAAUCACAUCACAUCACUUGUAGACGGUGAAGCAUUUGUUUAAAUUGGGGUCAAGCAUUUUCAGGUGUCUGCUUUGUCAAUACUCUGGUGCCACGUCUUGCUAAACACACAAGAAGCUCUGAAUUGUGAAACUGCUGCCUCUUGCAGAUGUUACAACAGCAAUGGCUGUCGAAAGGCUUCAGGGAGAGAAAAUGAGAUCUGAGGACAGGAAAGUGGAAUUGAUUUCAUGCUUAGCAAAAUGAGGGUUUCAGCAGAGGACCUUUUUGUGGCAAGGCUACGGAAUCAGAAAGAACGUUUGUCUGGGCAACUGGGAGAUUUACAGUUUUUCAUGCAGCCAACGAAGACAUUGGGGUUAGCAUCAUACCAAAUGGCUGGCAAAGAUUGCCUGUAAUUGUCUGUGUAGGACAGGAAAGGCAGGUAUAGGUUAGGGAGGGCAUCCAUCGGUGAGCUCUGACUGGAUGUGAGGACCUGUCACACUUGACCAGAGAUGAAGGCUGCAGCACAUUCCUGGAUCAGAGGACACCAUGUUGGACAUCACAACCUGGAGAAGUCCCGUCCUGGAUGGCUGCGGUGAUGACCUCGCCCAAGAUGAACUGACCCUUCUACGACGAGGACUUAGCCCAAGAUGAACCGACCCUUCUACGACGAGGACUUCGCCCAAGAUGAACCGACCCUUCUACGACGAGGACUUAGCCCAAGAUGAACCGACCCUUCUACGACGAGGACUUCGCCUAAGAUGAAUCGACCUUUUCCACGGGAUGUCUUCAGAUGCUGGACCUUGCCAAACUGUACACAUGCCUCAAUGGCUGCUACGUCACUCUGCCCAACAGGACAUGGUCACUGAAAUUUUUUUGAUUUUUUUUUUUUUAAAUGGACUUUAACCCCCCCUGUCCCCACUGACCCACAACCACACAUGACAAAACACUGCACAUGUGAUGCAUCACCACACUAAAUUACAGACACUGCUACUUUCAGCCUGUUUCAGUCUGUAAAAGAUCGCAAGCUCUCCGCAUGACCCAACAGCAUCGAUGUUUGAUUUAUGUAAUUGCUCAAUUUUUAAAUCAGUCAAGAUUUUAUGAGCUGGGUCUUCUUCACACAACAGAGAACAAGGUAAAUUGAGUCGACUCGUAACAUGGCAAGGCAUUUCGUCCUUCCCCUUCUUCUCUGUGUGUGAGGAAAUCUGGCCACAGAUCCUGACUGAGUGACAUACCAUGGCUGUGCAGUUUCCAAAAUCAGACAAGGAUCCAUCUGAUUUUGUGACUCGGCUUGUCAUGAUAUGCAUGUAUUUUCCUCCAAAACAAAGGAUUUGAAUAGACAGGUUUGUAGUGUAAAUCACAUCACUUGUAGAUGGUGAUGGUGUACAGACAGUGCUACUUUCAGCCUGUAAUGUUAGACAUUGAAAACUUGUAUUUAUUGCCUUCUUUAU